rnacentral:rRNA from 1 species
AGAGUUUGAUCCUGGCUCAGGAUGAACGCUAGCGGCAGGCCUAACACAUGCAAGUCGAACGGUAACAGAAAAAAGCUUGCUUUUUUGCUGACGAGUGGCGCACGGGUGCGUAACGCGUAUACAAUCUACCUUUUACUGGGGGAUAGCCUUUGGAAACGAUGAAUAAUACCUCAUAGUAUCUAAAUUUCGCAUGAUAAUUAGAUUAAAGUUUCGGCGGUAAGAGAUGAGUAUGCGUUCUAUUAGCUAGAUGGUGUGGUAACGGCACACCAUGGCAACGAUAGAUAGGGGCCCUGAGAGGGGGAUCCCCCACACUGGUACUGAGACACGGACCAGACUCCUACGGGAGGCAGCAGUGAGGAAUAUUGGACAAUGGGCGAAAGCCUGAUCCAGCCAUGCCGCGUGCAGGAAGACUGCCCUAUGGGUUGUAAACUGCUUUUAUACGGGAAGAAACCCAUCUACGUGUAGGUGGCUGACGGUACCGUAAGAAUAAGCAUCGGCUAACUCCGUGCCAGCAGCCGCGGUAAUACGGAGGAUGCAAGCGUUAUCCGGAAUCAUUGGGUUUAAAGGGUCCGUAGGUGGAUUAGUAAGUCAGAGGUGAAAGCCUGCAGCUCAACUGUAGAACUGCCUUUGAUACUGCUAGUCUUGAAUUAUUGUGAAGUGGUUAGAAUAUGUAGUGUAGCGGUGA